rnacentral:pre_miRNA from 1 species
AUGUGCUGUGAGUUCAGAUCGCAGUGCUCUAAGGCAUUUUCACCAUGGCCUGGGCCUCUCUCCUUCUUCACUUUCUCUCUCUCUAUGCAGGUAA